rnacentral:rRNA from 1 species
UACGUAGGGGGCAAGCGUUGUCCGGAAUCAUUGGGCGUAAAGCGCGUGUAGGCGGUUCAGUAAGUCUGCUGUGAAAGUCCAGGGCUCAACCCUGGGAUGCCGGUGGAUACUGCUGGGCUAGAGUACGGAAGAGGCGAGUGGAAUUCCCGGUGUAGCGGUGAAAUGCGCAGAUAUCGGGAGGAACACCGGUGGCGAAGGCGGCAUCCUGGACCGGCAUUGACGCUGAGGCGCGAAAGCUAGGGGAGCAAACGGG